UACGAAGGGGGCUAGCGUUGCUCGGAAUCACUGGGCGUAAAGCGCACGUAGGCGGAUUGUCAAGUCAGGGGUGAAAUCCUGGAGCUCAACUCCAGAACUGCCUUUGAUACUGGCGACCUUGAGUCCGGGGAGAGGUGAGUGGAACUGCGAGUGUAGAGGUGAAAUUCGUAGAUAUUCGCAAGAACACCAGUGGCGAAGGCGGCUCACUGGCCCGGUACUGACGCUGAGGUGCGAAAGC
rnacentral:rRNA from 1 species